rnacentral:sRNA from 1 species
GGUAACUCCUGAAACUCACUUGUCUACCAAGGUGGGAGUGUGGUAUCUUUGGUGCUCUAAGGACGUCACCGGAAGUCCUGCUGUGAUCGUCUCUGAGUGGUGAUUGGAUAAGAAUGGAGGCAGCAGCUGCGAGCCAUCAUAUAAACGAGAACCAGCCAUGGAGGGCAUAAAAAUAAUGAAUGGUCUAAACCACACUGUUAGUACUAUGUUGCCAACCAGAUGAGGAGAGCAUGUCUCCACAGAAUGGACACCCCAACCUGCUCUCUCUGGGGAGCUGGGCUAAGUGGAAGAUUGAAUGCAGGGGUUAGGUUUACCAGCGACAACUCCUCAUCCUCAUCGAAGAGAAGAAAAAUAGGGAAGGGGGACUCAUUUAAAAGAAUUUGCUGUCAAGCCCCGAUGGUCUGAGUGCCAUCCCUGGCUAUCUACAUGGUGUAAGACCAACUGCUGUGUGUUCUCCUCUGAA